rnacentral:rRNA from 1 species
AGGAAGAGAAAGAAAAUUCGAUUCCCUUAGUAGCGGCGAGCGAAACGGGAAGAGCCCAAACCAACAAGCUUGCUUGUUGGGGUUGUAGGACACUCUAUACGGAGUUACAAAGGACGACAUUAGACGAAUCAUCUGGAAAGAUGAAUCAAAGAAGGUAAUAAUCCUGUAGUCGAAAAUGUUGUCUCUCUUGAGUGGAUCCUGAGUACGACGGAGCACGUGAAAUUCCGUCGGAAUCUGGGAGGACCAUCUCCUAAGGCUAAAUACUCUCUAGUGACCGAUAGUGAACCAGUACCGUGAGGGAAAGGUGAAAAGCACCCCGGAAGGGGAGUGAAAUAGAACCUGAAACCGUGUGCUUACAAGUAGUCAGAGCCCGUUAAUGGGUGAUGGCGUGCCUUUUGUAGAAUGAACCGGCGAGUUACGAUUUGAUGCAAGGUUAAGCAGUAAAUGUGGAGCCGUAGCGAAAGCGAGUCUGAAUAGGGCGUUUAGUAUUUGGUCGUAGACCCGAAACCAGGUGAUCUACCCUUGGUCAGGUUGAAGUUCAGGUAACACUGAAUGGAGGACCGAACCGACUUACGUUGAAAAGUGAGCGGAUGAACUGAGGGUAGCGGAGAAAUUCCAAUCGAACCUGGAGAUAGCUGGUUCUCUCCGAAAUAGCUUUAGGGCUAGCCUCAAGUGAUGAUUAUUGGAGGUAGAGCACUGUUUGGACGAGGGGCCCCUCUCGGGUUACCGAAUUCAGACAAACUCCGAAUGCCAAUUAAUUUAACUUGGGAGUCAGAACAUGGGUGAUAAGGUCCGUGUUCGAAAGGGAAACAGCCCAGACCACCAGCUAAGGUCCCAAAAUAUAUGUUAAGUGGAAAAGGAUGUGGCGUUGCCCAGACAACUAGGAUGUUGGCUUAGAAGCAGCCAUCAUUUAAAGAGUGCGUAAUAGCUCACUAGUCGAGUGACACUGCGCCGAAAAUGUACCGGGGCUAAACAUAUUACCGAAGCUGUGGAUUGUCCUUUGGACAAUGGUAGGAGAGCGUUCUAAGGGCGUUGAAGCAUGAUCGUAAGGACAUGUGGAGCGCUUAGAAGUGAGAAUGCCGGUGUGAGUAGCGAAAGACGGGUGAGAAUCCCGUCCACCGAUUGACUAAGGUUUCCAGAGGAAGGCUCGUCCGCUCUGGGUUAGUCGGGUCCUAAGCUGAGGCCGACAGGCGUAGGCGAUGGAUAACAGGUUGAUAUUCCUGUACCACCUAUAAUCGUUUUAAUCGAUGGGGGGACGCAGUAGGAUAGGCGAAGCGUGCGAUUGGAUUGCACGUCUAAGCAGUAAGGCUGAGUAUUAGGCAAAUCCGGUACUCGUUAAGGCUGAGCUGUGAUGGGGAGAAGACAUUGUGUCUUCGAGUCGUUGAUUUCACACUGCCGAGAAAAGCCUCUAGAUAGAAAAUAGGUGCCCGUACCGCAAACCGACACAGGUAGUCAAGAUGAGAAUUCUAAGGUGAGCGAGCGAACUCUCGUUAAGGAACUCGGCAAAAUGACCCCGUAACUUCGGGAGAAGGGGUGCUCUUUAGGGUUAACGCCCAGAAGAGCCGCAGUGAAUAGGCCCAAGCGACUGUUUAUCAAAAACACAGGUCUCUGCUAAACCGUAAGGUGAUGUAUAGGGGCUGACGCCUGCCCGGUGCUGGAAGGUUAAGAGGAGUGGUUAGCUUCUGCGAAGCUACGAAUCGAAGCCCCAGUAAACGGCGGCCGUAACUAUAACGGUCCUAAGGUAGCGAAAUUCCUUGUCGGGUAAGUUCCGACCCGCACGAAAGGCGUAACGAUUUGGGCACUGUCUCAACGAGAGACUCGGUGAAAUCAUAGUACCUGUGAAGAUGCAGGUUACCCGCGACAGGACGGAAAGACCCCGUGGAGCUUUACUGUAGCCUGAUAUUGAAAUUCGGCACAGCUUGUACAGGAUAGGUAGGAGCCUUUGAAACGUGAGCGCUAGCUUACGUGGAGGCGCUGGUGGGAUACUACCCUAGCUGUGUUGGCUUUCUAACCCGCACCACUUAUCGUGGUGGGAGACAGUGUCAGGCGGGCAGUUUGACUGGGGCGGUCGCCUCCUAAAAGGUAACGGAGGCGCUCAAAGGUUCCCUCAGAAUGGUUGGAAAUCAUUCAUAGAGUGUAAAGGCAUAAGGGAGCUUGACUGCGAGACCUACAAGUCGAG